UGGUGUCCCAAGGAGACUCAGUGACGCUGACUUGCAACAUAUCCAAGACAAAUGCAACACAAAUCUCCUGGACCAACAACAGAUCUGUUUUUCAUUAUUCCAUUGAGCUGAAUCGCACCCAUUCAAAUUUCUCAUUUCAUAGACUGAAAAUAAAUCAUGAGUUUCCAACAAAGCUCGUUAUUUUUAGUGCUCAACCUGAAGAUGAAGGACUUUAUACAUGUAGCAUAACAGAUAGAAGUGGCCUUUACAGCAUUACAUGGAGUUUGACUGUGUCUGAGAACCCCAAAGAAUCCACUUCAUCAAAGUAUUUUCUAUACAUACUCCCACCUGCAAUUGGAUUCCUUCUGUGUUGCAUCACACUCGCUGUGUUUCUCUACAGAAAAAGCAUGAUGAUGAAACUAAAUCAGGAUGCCGUCCAGGAUCAGAUUCCUCCUCAGUCAGGAGAAGAGGGUGGCAGCACUAAUUGCAAAAACAACAGGCAGAGGAGUCAGUAUAUGGAGAGACUGAAUUCAAUCUAUGAUCACUUCAAUCUAUGAAGUGAUCAACUGAAAAACCUUCCAGUUCCUGACAGACAUGAACAGUGUCAAAGGAGAAACUAAAAGGGAACGCCGUCAGAGGGAGAACACCCGGGCUAUAAUACCCUCAGCUUCAGCUCAGACAAAUGACUCUGCCUGUGAGCAGAACAGUUCCAACCAUCCAUCACCAUCCAAGGAGCUUUUAUAUCUCAAGGAUCUUUGCUGUAACAACUUUGAGAGCACUUAGUUUGACAGAAGUGUUUUUCUUCAUCUGUGAGUAUAAGACCAGGUUCACCAACUUAUGUACUGUCAACCUAUUGACUGACUAUAAGAAAGCCUAUGACUCACACGGAUCCUGGAAUGCCUAGAAAUACAAGAACAACAGGACCCUAAGAGCCUUCAUCAGGAAUUCAAUGGGGAUGUGGUGAACAAUGCUAGAGGCCAACUUGAAGCCAAGUGCGUGGUCAAGUGUGGGAUUUACCAAGGAGAUGCACUGUCCCCACUGCUGUUCUGCAUAGGCCUGAACCCCCUUAGCCAGAUCAUCAACAAGACUGGCUAGGGAUAUCAACUACACAAUCAAGCAAUCAUUAGCCACCACAACUAUAUGGAUGACAUCAAGCUGUAUGCCAAGAGAGAACGAGACAUAGACUCACUGAUCCAUACCACUAGGAUAUACAGCAAUGACACUGUGAUGUCAUGCGGACUGGAGAAGUGUAGUGAGAUGGUAACAAAGAGAGGGAAAGCAGAACUGAGCAAACUGCACUGGCAGAAGGCAACAAUGCAGACAUCAAGGCCAGCUACAAGUCCAUCCAUACCAUGCAUGGAGGGUUUCACCAUAUCCUGGGAUUGUGCACUAAGCAGAAUGAAGGAGACUAGUGAGUGUCAGUGUCAUUAUUGCUUUACUCUGCAGAAAGAUUAUGAUAAGGACACUGAAUCAGGAUCAGUUUCUCCCUCAGUCAUGAGAAGAGAUCAGAAGAUCGUCAUCAUCUUUAAUACUCUCAAAUUUUGUCUACCAAAUUUUAUUUUAGCCUUUUGUCUGUAUAGGUAAGUAUAUUUAUUUAUACAUGAUUUGAAGUUCUCUGAACCAUUUUCCAACAAAAGACACUCAGGAAAUUCAGACCUCCACCAAGGCAGGUCACUCUCUGUGCAGGAUUUUAGGGAAUAGUGUUGUAAUUUGUGUUCAUUAUUUUGUUUUCUUUGUUGCUUUUAAGCAUUUUAAAGAAGUUUCACUGCAGAAAUAAUUAAGUGUAAAGUGCAGACGUUUGCUGUUUGCCCCACAGAAAUACUUUUUAAUAUGUGUGCCAUAAUUUUGAGUAUAAUAAUAAUAAUAAUAAUUUUUUAUUGUUCAUUAAUGUGGAUGUAGCGGAUGUUUGUUUAGUAAAAUGUCCUUAAAUAUUUAGUAAUAAUUAGCAAAUGAACAAACGUUUUCUAUGUUAAUGAACAUUUUUGGAUUUUAGCUAUUCUGUUUUUACAUUUUGUAUUUUUGUAUUGAUUUUUUUAUUUUGUCUUUACAUCAGAGAGUGGUACAGAGCUGUGUUGUUGUCAACAAGACACUUGGUGAUGUUGACUUGUAGCAUAUCCAAUAAAAAAAAGAUAAAACAAUAAUCUCUUGGAUUUUCAAUAUUUCCUUCUGCUAGAAUCACUGCACAUAAACAGCGGUUAUAGUUGUUUGGCCUGCAGCAUUCACACUACCCCCCUAAAUGUACUUGAAAUGAGAGGAGAGUUAAACACAGAAUUAAUUUGACUGCAAUCUGCUAUCUACUGACAUCUAGUGGUGAGAUUACAGCUACACACUGUACCUUAAAUCAACCUCCCAGUUUUUAAGUGACUGUUUAAGACUGACAUAUUAUAUUAUUUGUAUGUUGAAAUAUUAUGUGAUUA